GUCUCGGUAGCUUAAUGGAUAACGCGGUGGACUUCAAAUCCAAACGUCGUGGGUUCGAAUCCCACCUGGGAUG